CUGGCUCAGAACGAACGCUGGCGGCGCGUUUUAAACAUGCACAGUCGUACGAGAACCCCGGUGCUUGCAUUGGGGGGAGAGUGGCGAACGGGUGAGUAACACGUGGAUUAUCUGCCUUCAUGUCUGGGAUAACCCCGGGAAACCGGGGCUAAUACUGGAUAAUAUGGCAACAUUAAAGGUGGGGACCUUCGGGCCUAUCGCCUGAAGAUGAGUCCGCGUCCCAUUAGCUUGUUGGUGGGGUAAUGGCCUACCAAGGCGACGAUGGGUAGCCGGCCUGAGAGGGUGUACGGCCACAUUGGGACUGAGAUACGGCCCAGACUCCUACGGGAGGCAGCAGUUAAGAAUCUUGCGCAAUGGGCGAAAGCCUGACGCAGCGACGCCGCGUGGACGAUGAAGGCCUUCGGGUUGUAAAGUCCGGUAAGCGGGGAAGAAUAAGUGUAAAGUAAUAUCUUGCACGAUGACGGUACCUGCCUAAAGCCCCGGCUAACUACGUGCCAGCAGCCGCGGUAAUACGUAUGGGGCAAGCGUUGUUCGGAAUUAUUGGGCGUAAAGCGCGCCUAGGCGGAGUGCUAAGUCGGGGGUGAAAUCCCUGGGCUCAACCCCGGAAUCGCCUCUGAUACUGGCAGUCUAGAGUUCUGGAGAGGUGAGUGGAAUUCCCAGUGUACAGGUGAAAUGCGUAGAUAUUCGGAGGAACACCAGUGGCGAAGGCGGCUCACUGGCCAAAAACUGACGCUGAAGUGCGAAAGCGUGGGGAGCGAACG
rnacentral:rRNA from 1 species